AGUCAUUAAUUUAUUUUUUUUAAUUUAUAAUAUUUAAGAAAUAACUAUUUUGUGAGUAAAUUUUAUUGAAAUCUUUUUUUUAAUAAUAGUUAAUUGUACUGUGAAGGGUUAUUUUUAAUUUUUUAGAAGAAUAUUUUUUUAUAGUACCUUUUGUAUCAGGGUUUAUUAAUUAAUUUUUAUAUAUUAUAAUGUUCUCGAAAUAGGAAGAUAUAAAAUUUAAUGUUUAUUAAUGUUUCAUAAUUAUUUAUAAUUAAAUUUUAGUGGUUAUAUGCUAUUCAAUUCUUAAUAUCUAGUUCUUUAAUAAAUGAAUUUAAUUCAGAAUUUAAUAGUUUAUCUUAAUUAUAUUUGUAAUAAUUAUUGAAUUUAAAUUUAAGGGGGAUUAGCUCUUUAAGUUUUAUAUAAUUAUUAAAAGAAAAAAAGUUUGUAGGAUUAAUAAUUUCCAUCUAUAAAGAUUGUUAUAAUUUUCUUUUUUUUUAUUUUUAUUUAAUAUUAUUUAUUUUUAUAUUAAAGAGAUUUAUUUAACUUAUUUUUAUUUGUUAUUAUGAUAGAAUUAGUAGUUUAUUUAAUGUUGAUAUAGUAAUUCGGCAAUUUAGAUUUCCGCCUGUUUAACAAAAACAUGUCCUGUAGAUUUUAAUUACAGGUCUAACCUGCUCAAUGAUUAAUUUUUAAAUAGCCGCAGUAUUUUAACUGUGCAAAGGUAGCAUAAUAAUUUGUCUUUUAAUUGAAGACUUGAAUGAAUGGUUGGACGAGAAAUCAUCUUUCUUUAUCAAUUAUUUUGAAUUUUAUUUUUUAGUCAAAAAGCUAAAAUUUAUUUAUGGGACGAGAAGACCCUAUAGAAUUUUAUUUAAUUUUAUUUAAUAUUUUUUAUUUAAUAUUUUUUAUUUAAUAUUAAAUUUGAUUGGGGUGAUUAUGAAAUCUCAUUAACUUUCAUUGUUAUUACACAUUAAUUAAUGUAUUUUUGAUCCUAUUUUUUAGAUUACAAGAUUAAAUUACCUUAGGGAUAACAGCGUAAUUUUUUUGGAGAGUUCAAAUCGAUAAAAAAGUUUGCGACCUCGAUGUUGGAUUAGAGUUAGUAUUAGGUGUAGGUGCUUAAUUUUUAGGUCUGUUCGACCUUUAAAUCUUUACAUGAUCUGAGUUCAGACCGGCGUGAGCCAGGUUGGUUUCUAUCUAUAAAUUGAUUUUAAUAUUUUAGUACGAAAGGACCAUAUAUUAGUAAAAAUUAUUUUUUAUUGAUUUAUAUU
rnacentral:rRNA from 1 species